rnacentral:rRNA from 1 species
ACGAACGCUGGCGGCAGGCUUAACACAUGCAAGUCGAGCGCCUCGCAAGAGGAGCGGCAGACGGGUGAGUAACGCGUGGGAAUCUACCGUGCCCUAAGGAAUAGCUCCGGGAAACUGGAAUUAAUACCUUAUACGCCCUUCGGGGGAAAGAUUUAUCGGGGUAUGAUGAGCCCGCGUUGGAUUAGCUAGUUGGUGGGGUAAAGGCCUACCAAGGCGACGAUCCAUAGCUGGUCUGAGAGGAUGAUCAGCCACAUUGGGACUGAGACACGGCCCAAACUCCUACGGGAGGCAGCAGUGGGGAAUAUUGGACAAUGGGCGCAAGCCUGAUCCAGCCAUGCCGCGUGAGUGAUGAAGGCCCUAGGGUUGUAAAGCUCUUUCACCGGUGAAGAUAAUGACGGUAACCGGAGAAGAAGCCCCGGCUAACUUCGU